rnacentral:rRNA from 1 species
GACGAACGCUGGCGGCGUGCUUAACACAUGCAAGUCGAACGGAAAGGCCCUGCUUGCAGGGUACUCGAGUGGCGAACGGGUGAGUAACACGUGGGUGAUCUGCUCUGCACUUCGGGAUAAGCUUGGGAAACUGGGUCUAAUACCGGAUAGGACCGCACUUUAGUGUGUGUGGUGGAAAGUUUUUUCGGUGUAGGAUGAGCUCGCGGCCUAUCAGCUUGUUGGUGGGGUAAUGGCCUACCAAGGCGGCGACGGGUAGCCGGCCUGAGAGGGUGUACGGCCACAUUGGGACUGAGAUACGGCCCAGACUCCUACGGGAGGCAGCAGUGGGGAAUAUUGCACAAUGGGCGCAAGCCUGAUGCAGCGACGCCGCGUGGGGGAUGAAGGCCUUCGGGUUGUAAACUCCUUUCGCUAGGGACGAAGCUUUUUGUGACGGUACCUAGAUAAGAAGCACCGGCUAACUACGUG